rnacentral:rRNA from 1 species
GGAAGCCCGGGGGCAGAAAGCGCGGUAAGACGGAGGAGGCAAUCGUUAUGCGGAAGCAUUGGGUUUAAAGGGUCAGUAGGCGGCCUUAUAAGUCAGCGGUGAAAGUUUUUGGCUUAACCAAAAAAUUGCCAUUGAUACUGUAGGGCUUGAAUUAUUGUGAAGUAACUAGAAUAUGUAGUGUAGCGGUGAAAUGCUUAGAUAUUACAUGGAAUACCAAUUGCGAAGGCAGGUUACUAACAAUAUAUUGACGCUGAUGGACGAAAGCGUGGGUAGCGAACAGGAUUAGAUACCCCAUUAGUC